UAGCAAACGGGCUCCGUUGCCAUCCAUUUGUUUUCGGUGAUGGAGCUUCCGAAUCGACGAUCGACACUGUUGAACAUGAUUUAUAUCAUUUGAAGCAUCUAGAAAUCAAAUUUCGUACUUUUUCGAUAUUGUUCUCUUGUCCAACAAGUGGAUGCAAAAAUGAAUGGCUGAAAAUAAAUAUCCUCUAAAAAGUGAUGAUAGGAGACUUGCAAUCAAGAUCGAGAGUAUAGAUUUUGUUCUAAAUAGUUUAAAGAAUUUUCUUACCAAAAUUCAAUUGAUUUGGAUAUCUUUAUACCGUUAAACGAGAAAACGUCUCACAUCGAUUAUUAAAAUUACAAAUUUUGAAACCCUUUGAUCAUUAGGUCAAUGAUGUCGAAAUGAUUUGAAAUUUGGUUUCUAGAUACUUCAAGUGGUAUAGAUCAUGUUCAACGAUAUCGAUCGUCGAUUUGGAGGCUCCAUUAUCGAAAACAAAUGAGUGGCAACGGAGUCCGUUUGCUACCGAUGGCAUUUCAGCUCAACUCUCUCUCUCUCUAUAUAUAUGUAUGUAUGUAUGUAUGUAUGUAUCUACAAACACACAAAUACGUAUAUGUACAUGCACAUGUGUACAUACAUAUACACAUAUAUACGUAUACGUAAACGUACAUAUACGUGUAUUUGUACAUAAACAUAUACAUAUAUGUACAUGUAUAUAACAAUCCGGCUUGCUAGCAAUAAUAAUUCGUCAAAUCACUAGCUUAAAAUGUUUAAGCCUAGUUAUUAUUAUUAGUGUCUAUGGUUUCUUAUAUAUCCAACCACAACACGGUUCCCAUUUGAUGUGGGACUAUUGGAGUGUUACAGACUCCCCUCGUUUAGGCCUUGACGUCCUCGUCAGUCUAACACACAGUCCAAAAUCAUCUGGCAAUAUGAGGCCCACACAGUUCAAGAUCAUCAGGCAAUGUGAGCCCCCCCUCACACUUUCGGCCGGUGAACUAGCUUCGAUACCAAAUAUAAAAUUCGGCUCGGUAGCAAUAAUAACUCAUUGGGACCAAACUAUUAGCCCAAAAUACUUUUGCCCAGUUAUUAUUAUUAGAGUCUGUGGUUUCUUAUAUACCCGACCACAAUCCCGCUCCCAUUUGAUGUGGGGACUAUUGGGGUGUCACCAUGUAUUAUAUAUGUAUAUGUAUGUAUAAUAUAUACGUAUAUAUAUAGAAUCAGGCUAGAAUACUAACACGAUAGCAUCAAGGCCUCCGUGCUAUCGAGUUGUUUUUGAUGAUGGGACAUCCGAUUCGACGACCGGCUCCGUUAGGCUUGAUCUACACUAUUGAAAGUAUCUAGAAACUAAUUUCAUGAUUUUUUGACAUCAUUUACCCUUAGAACGAGUAGUCUCAAAAUGAACAGUCGAAAAUAAAAAUCUUAUACAGACAAUAAUAGAAAACCUAAAUUUCAGAUUAGAAGUACUGAUCUUGUUUUAAAUAGUGAAACAAAUUUUCUAUCAAAGUUUCACUGGAUUUGGAUUGUUCUACACUGUUAAACUUACAAAUGCAUUACAUUGGCUAUUAAAAUUGUUAAUUUUGAGACCGUUUGAUAACUAAUUAAAGGAUAUCAAAAAAAUAUGAAAAUUUAUUUCAUUUUUCAGGUGCUCUAUGUUAAUCGAGGGAAAUAGUUUUUGGAGUAAAAGUUUUCAGUGGAAAAGGAGUGCUGUGGUUGGGGAAAGAAAUGAAAAAUAUUUUGUUGUUUUUCUUUCAUUAUAUAUUAGAUAAAUAAAUCUAACACAGACUAUAUAUUGUAGAUCCAUGUGGUCCAUGACUUUUCCUCACGAAGUAGUGUACAGACUUCGCUGGACUCGUGCUAAAUUUUUGAUUGGGAUGGAUUCCGCUCUUCUUUAGUAAAAAAUGGAUAGGGCACUUCAACGGGAAAGUAAAAAACUUUCUUAUGCAUUCAAAUUACUUUACAUUACAUUGAAUCAAGAAAGCAUAAAACUAUUUUUUGGUCCAGAAACUCUUUACCACCCUGUUUUAUCACUUUAUGUGUAACCAAAGACACAAAAUUUCACUAACAUAUUCUUACCUUUUGAACCCUUUGAAUGGGUUCAGCACAAACAGAACUUCAAUGUGUGCUCAAAAUGCAAUAUGGAUUAAUCAUUUAAGUUGAUUUACUUGGAUAAGCAUGGCUUGCAUGGCGUUUUCAUUUGAGGAUUUCUCCUAGUGUGUGCUCUCUGCUGCUAGUUGUUAUCACUAUAUAUUAUGACAAAGUGGGAUUGUUUGCCACCGCAUGGCAUCAAGGUGGGUCUAGAAACGUGUUGGGCAAAGCUUGGGCUGGGUGCCUACAGUAACGUGCCAUCGCGAAAAUGUCUAAUCCUCCUAAGUCACGCUGGCAUGCCAGUGGUGUGAUACAUUUUGUAGGCUCGUAGAAUCCUACUUCUAAAAGGGCUACCUUUGUACCACAGUCUCCCUAGACGUUUUUUUAUUAGUAAGUUUGCAUACUAUCGUACAUAAUUUCCAUAAAAUCAACAACAUUGAGAGACUAUUAAGUGUAUUAUCUUCUGAGGAUGCAAAUUGCACAUGAGGGGCAUCAUCCUUGGCCAAGAUGUUUACUUGAUAUUCUUCUUUCAUAAUGUAACGUAAAAGAAACUAAUAAGAAAAUUCCAGGCGAUUUCAUUCUUCUGCCACAUUUCCAUUUCUCCCCUCCAUGCUUCUUUUACUACUCACAGACUCACAGUAUCCUGGUGAGCCAUACCAAUAUGUUUGCUUGUUGGGAGACGUGAUGCUAGUGAUGGAUACCUAGUGUCACGCCCCGAGACCGCUACCAAUUUGGUCCGGUUCGAGCGCGUCGAACAGACGCCGGACGGACAGCACCUCCCCUGUCCGCCCAAGGCUCAAAGGUAAGAUCAUGUACAUAGAAUUGCCCAGGAAUAAUUCAAUACAUACGCGAUCCAACAAGGAGAGAAGCACAAAGAGUGCAAUACAACAAGAGCAAGUAACACAAGUGUACAUACAAGUGCAUAAAGAGAGAUACAUCUAGCUAUUACUUUACAUUCUAUUUUUACAUCUUUGAUAUAUUACAUUUUCAUCUUCNGCUCGAAUUAAUUUCAAGCCAAGCUUGAGCCUAAAUUUAGGCUCGAAAUUAAUUUCAAGCCAAGCUUGAGCUGAGAUAAGCUCGCUCGAGCUCGGCUCGUUUCCACCCCUAUGGAUACCUUCCUAAGCUAGGCAAAGCUUCCAACCACUAUGCUGGGGUUCUAAUGAGCUGUUGGAUAUGCUGUAUACUGCUGCUUGGUUAACCAAAAUCAAUGCUUGAUGAUAAUGUCGUACUCGCAUACAUAUGAAUGUGCUUAGAUAUGCACACCUUGUCAUUCAUUGAAUGUGCAUUGAAACCCAACAUCCCUUUAAUGAGCAGAAAUCAUGCCGCUUAUUGUGCUGCUACACUCCAUGAAGCUGUUGCUAUAAUUCCCAUCUUGCAAGUGAAAUGGUCGGAGCACCGACCACCCCUACUUCCUAAAGCGUGCAUGCACAUUCUGAACAUACAUGCACAUAUUUAUGUAUAAAAGUUUUUUUAUGUAUGUUUAUUAUUAAUGUAAGCAUUCUGUAAGGCCGCUAUAUUCCCUCUAAAUUAAUUUGACUGCAACAAAUCUGGUUGUUUUGUACUUGACAAUCUUUCAAUUACCUUUCUGCUGAUUGGUUACUCUUGUCUCAGUGUGUUCUUAGAAACUGAAAUAUGAUGUGC
rnacentral:lncRNA from 1 species